GGGCGUGUGGUCUAGUGGUAUGAUUCUCGCUUUGGGAACUUGAUGCGAUUCUCGAUCGUUGCUACUGUUCAAAUAUGCGAGAGGCCCUGGGUUCAAUUCCCAGUAUGCCCC
rfam:Metschnikowia bicuspidata var. bicuspidata NRRL YB-4993 METBIscaffold_1, whole genome shotgun sequence.